rnacentral:misc_RNA from 1 species
CUUCUCUGUCAUGAGUAAGCCGUAAAGAUUUCUCUCUUAACAGAAAACAGCUCAAAGCACUAUAGUAAAGCACCAAAAAGUUCUAAAACCCUUUAAAAAUAAUUGAUUUCUUUGGCUAGUUUUUUGCUUUUGGCUUUUGGACGUGAAGGACACCGCUGAUUCAAGAGAGCGUACCAUAAUUUUGGCUCGGCGGAGUCAGUUGUGCAAAGUAUCCCCACUCAUAUAAAGGACCUAUGAUGCGGUUCUCUAUUUUUAUUUGCUGAAAAAAACGUUGGUAAUUGAUUGGUAUACAGAUGAAUUCUGUUCUUGUCCAGCGGGGAUCUUUGUCCAAGAUUGUUUCAAAUUUUAUUUCCAAACAGGGUUUGCAAUCUAAUAUUUUUGUAUUGAGGUUUAAUCAUUCAGCUGGUCUGAAAUAUUUUCAAGCUUCAAAAAUUCGAUAUGGUAGUUUAUUUUUUGUUUAUCCAGCAUUUAGAGGUUUUUUAUUUAAGUCAGCAAACUGUGAAAAACUUUAUGUUUCACAUAAAAAAAGUCGUAUUUCUCCUGACUUAAAUUCUAAAUUGAUCACUUCAUUUAAGCCAACUUUCAGAUGGAAACUUUUUAUUGAAUUAAUUAAACCUGACUGGGUUUUGUUUAUGUUUUCUGUAUUUGGUGCAUUUGCUGUUGCAUUGGUUAAUAUACAGACCCCAUUAUUACUUGGAGGAUUAAUCAAUUUCAUUUCUGAGAUAUUAAAAGAAAGCCCAACCUCAAUUAACAUUUUUAAUGAACUCUACACUCCUUGUAAAAAACUAGUUAUAAACUAUAUACUGCAAUCAAUUUUUACGGCAACUUAUUUAACUCUAUUGUCUUCAUUUGGUGAGCGAUUAGCCUCACGAAUGAGAAUAUGUUUAUUUACAAGGUUGAUGGAGCAAGACAUGAGUUUUUUUGACAAACAUAAAACAGGAGAAAUAAUGAACAGAUUGACUACUGAUAUUCAAGAUUUUAAAAGUUCUUUUAAACAAGUUGUUUCACAAGGUUUGCGCAGUUUGACUCAGAUUCUUGGUUGCAGCAUUACGUUGUAUACAAUCUCUCCUAAACUAACUUCUUUAAUGGUGUUACUUCUUCCUGGAAUCAUCUUAAUUGGUACAGGCAUGGGAUCUUUAUUGCGUCAAAUUUCAAAUCAUGCACAAGAGCAGGUUUCUCGUGCUAUGGGUGUAGCUGAUGAAGCAAUUGGCAAUAUUAGAACUGUUCGUUCUUUUGCCAUGGAGUAUAAAGAGAUAGGGUGGUAUUCUAAUGAAGUUCGUAAGUCACAGCAACUUAAUGAAAUGCUUGGAGCUGGUAUUGGAGUGUUUCAAGGUCUUUCAAAUUUAGCAAUAAAUGGUAUUGUUUUGGCUGUACUGUACACUGGUGCCAUACUUGUUAAUAACCAACAGUUAACACCUGGUGAUCUAAUGAGCUAUUUGAUUGCCACUCAAACUGUCCAAAAAUCAUUAGCAUCUAUGUCAGUUUUAUUUGGCCAGUUUGUAAAAGGAAUGAGUGCUGGGGCUCGUGUUUUUGAGUACAUGGAACUUAAACCAACUUUAAAGUUAUUAGGUGGAAAAAUAAUACCGGCUGAUAAACUUAAAGGAAACAUAUCUAUUGAACAUAUCAGGUUUUCUUACCCAAAUCGACCAGAACACUUAGUUUUUGAAGAUUUAAACUUAAAUAUUGAAGCUGGAAAAAUGGUAGCACUGGUCGGUUCAAGUGGAUCAGGAAAAUCAACGUUAGCAUCUCUAAUUGAACAUUUUUAUGAUGUUGAAAGUGGCUGUAUAACAAUUGAUGGAAUAAACAUUGCUGAUUUAGACCCAUCAUGGCUUAGAGGAGAACUUAUUGGUUAUAUUAACCAGGAGCCAACUCUGUUUGCUACAACUGUUAUGGAAAAUAUUCGAUAUGGGUCACCUCAAGCAACCGAUAAACAGGUAAUUGAAGCUGCAAAGAUAGCUAAUGCAGAUGGAUUUAUCAGAAGCUUUCCACAGGCUUAUGACACAAUAAUUGGUGAAAGAGGUGCUACAGUGUCUGGCGGACAAAAGCAAAGAAUAGCCAUUGCUCGCGCUUUGUUGAAGAAUCCUAAAAUACUCAUAUUAGAUGAAGCUACCAGGUAGACAAGUAUAAAGUAUUUUGUUACUUGCAGUGCUCUCGAUUCUGAGUCAGAAAGAUUAGUUCAAAAUGCACUUGAUAAAUUAAUACAAGGACGCACAGUGAUUGUUAUUGCUCAUCGAUUAAGUACAAUACAAAAUGCUG